GACGAACGCUGGCGGCGUGCUUAACACAUGCAAGUCGAACGGAAAGGCCUCUUUCGGGGGGUACUCGAGUGGCGAACGGGUGAGUAACACGUGAGUAACCUGCCCUUGACUUUGGGAUAACUUCAGGAAACUGGGGCUAAUACCGGAUAGGAGCUCCUGCUGCAUGGUGGGGGUUGGAAAGUUUCGGCGGUUGGGGAUGGACUCGCGGCUUAUCAGCUUGUUGGUGGGGUAGUGGCUUACCAAGGCUUUGACGGGUAGCCGUCCUGAGAGGGUGACCGGCCACAUUGGGACUGAGAUACGGCCCAGACUCCUACGGGAGGCAGCAGUGGGGAAUAUUGCACAAUGGGUGGAAGCCUGAUGCAGCAACGCCGUGUGCGGGAUGACGGCCUUCGGGUUGUAAACCGCUUUCGCUCAUGACGAAGCUUUGUGUGACGGUAGUGGGUAAAGAAGCACCGGCUAACUACGUG
rnacentral:rRNA from 1 species